UACGUAGGGGGCAAGCGUUGUCCGGAUUUAUUGGGCGUAAAGAGCUCGUAGGCGGCUUGGCAAGUCGGGUGUGAAAACUUCAGGCUCAACCUGGAGCGGCCACUCGAUACUGCUAUGGCUUGAGUCCGGUAGGGGACCACGGAAUUCCUGGUGUAGCGGUGAAAUGCGCAGAUAUCAGGAGGAACACCAGUGGCGAAGGCGGUGGUCUGGGCCGCAACUGACGCUGAGGAGCGAAAGCAUGGGGAGCGAACAGG
rnacentral:rRNA from 1 species